UACGUAGGGUGCAAGCGUUAUCCGGAAUUAUUGGGCGUAAAGAGCUCGUAGGCGGUUUGUCGCGUCUGCUGUGAAAACCCGAGGCUCAACCUCGGGCCUGCAGUGGGUACGGGCAGACUAGAGUGCGGUAGGGGAGAAUGGAAUUCCUGGUGUAGCGGUGGAAUGCGCAGAUAUCAGGAGGAACACCGAUGGCGAAGGCAGUUCUCUGGGCCGUAACUGACGCUGAGGAGCGAAAGCGUGGGGAGCAAACAGG
rnacentral:rRNA from 1 species